GGGGCAUUGGCGCAGUUGGUAGCGCGUCUGAAUGGCAUUCAGAAGGCCAGCGGUUCGAAUCCGCUAUGCUCCACCA
rnacentral:tRNA from 1 species